CCUACGGGAGGCAGCAGUGGGGAAUUUUGGACAAUGGGGGCAACCCUGAUCCAGCCAUGCCGCGUGAGUGAAGAAGGCCUUCGGGUUGUAAAGCUCUUUCGGACGGAAAGAAAUUGCCAUCUCUAACAUAGGUGGUGGAUGACGGUACCGUAAGAAGAAGCACCGGCUAACUACGUGCCAGCAGCCGCGGUAAUACGUAGGGUGCGAGCGUUAAUCGGAAUUACUGGGCGUAAAGCGUGCGCAGGCGGUUUGGUAAGACAGGCGGAAAAUCCCCGGGCUUAACCGGGAAACUGCGCUUGUGACUGAAAGGCUAGAGGGCGGCAGAGGGGGGUAGAAUUCCACGUGUAGCAGUGAAAUGCGUAGAGAUGGGGAGGAAUACCGAUGGCGAAGGCGGCCCCCGGGGUCGACACUGACGCGCAGGCACGAAAGCGUGGGGAGCAAACAGGAUU
rnacentral:rRNA from 1 species